rnacentral:rRNA from 1 species
AGAGUUUGAUCAUGGCUCAGGAUGAACGCUGGCGGUAUGCCUAACACAUGCAAGUCGAACGAUGUCUUCGGACAUAGUGGCGGACGGGUGAGUAACGCGUGAGAAUCUGCCUCUAGGAUGGGGAUAACGGUUGGAAACGACCGCUAACACCCAAUAUGCCGUAAGGUGAAAAAUUUAUUGCCUGGAGAGGAGCUCGCGUCUGAUUAGCUAGUUGGUGGGGUAAGAGCUCACCAAGGCUUCGAUCAGUAGCUGGUCUGAGAGGAUGAGCAGCCGCACUGGGACUGAGACACGGCCCAGACUCCUACGGGAGGCAGCAGUGGGGAAUUUUCCGCAAUGGGCGAAAGCCUGACGGAGCAAUACCGCGUGAGGGAGGAAUGCCUUUGGGUUGUAAACCUCUUUUCUCAGGGAAGAAGAUCUGACGGUACCUGAGGAAUAAGUAUCGGCUAACUCCGUGCCAGCAGCCGCGGUAAUACGGAGGAUGCAAGCGUUAUCCGGAAUCAUUGGGCGUAAAGCGUCCGCAGGUGGUUUCCAAAGUCUGCUGUUAAAGACUGGAGCUCAACUCCGGAACGGCGGUGGAAACUUGGAAACUAGAGUUCGGUAGGGGUAGCAGGAAUUCCCAGUGUAGCGGUGAAAUGCGUAGAUAUUGGGAAGAACAUCGGUGGCGAAGGCGUGCUACUGGACCGUAACUGACACUCAGGGACGAAAGCUAGGGGAGCGAAAGGGAUUAGAUACCCCUGUAGUCCUAGCUGUAAACGAUGGAAACUAGGUGUGG